rnacentral:rRNA from 1 species
AUUGAACGCUGGCGGCAGGCCUAACACAUGCAAGUCGCACGAGUGGCGGACGGGUGAGUAAUGUCUGGGAAACUGCCUGAUGGAUGGGGAUAACUACUGGAAACGGUAGCUAAUACCGCAUACCAUCAGAUGUGCCCAGUUGGGAUUAGCUAGUAGGUGGGGUAAUGGCUCACCUAGGCGACGAUCCCUAGCUGGGCUGAGAUGAUGACAAGCCACACUGGAACGGAGACACGGUCCAGACGCGUACGUGAGGAAGCAGGGGGGAAUAUUGCACAAUGGGCGCAAGCCUGAUGCAGCCAUGCCGCGGGUGUGAAGAAGGCCUUCGGGUUGGAAAGCACUUUCAGCGAGGAGGCGUUACUCGCAGAAGAAGCACCGGCUAACUCCGUGCCAGCAGCCGCGGUAAUUC